GGAUGUAGCUCAGUGGUGGAGCACUUGCUUAGCAUGUAAAAGGCCCUAGGUUCAAUUCCCAGUACUG
rnacentral:tRNA from 1 species